CACCUCCGGCGGCGGCGGCGGCGGCGGCGGUUUACCUGCCUUGCGCAGCAGGCCGAUCUGCGAACCGUUGAGGGCCAUGUAGUCGCAGUCGGUGAUGACCCGCACGCGCACCCCGCGCUGGUGCAGCAGCUGCACAGCACGCCCCAGCUGCGGGCUGGAGAAGGCGAAGAGGCAGAGCUCCAGGCUGGAGCGGGCGGCCAGCAGCGCGCGCAGCAGGCGGCUCAGCGAACUCUCGCUGUGAGGGAGACUGCACGGGCAGCCCGAGGAGGGCCCGGGGGGCAAGCCUGGGGUCUGCAGGAGCGCCUCGGUGCAGGUCACCUGCGACGGGAAGAAGAGCACCUCGCGCCGUGGCCGCCGCCCGGCCAGCAGCCAGCGCACCAGCCACGGCAGCGCCUCCAGGGCCAGCGCGAAACCCGCGCCAGCCGCGACCACCAACCGCCAACUCGAGAGCCCCAUGGCCGCCAGCUCCGAGGUCAUGGAUAUCUUGCAGCUCUUUCUGAAAUGUAAACUUUCUCUCAGGAUCUGUAAGACCAUUGGGGAAGAGAGUGUUAAAAACCUGUUCCAAGCACAAAGAAGUCAGCCGGAAACUUAUAACAAAAAGGAAUAGAUGACAGCAAUUGAAUGAUCCAGCAGCGAUCAACUUAAAACUCAGUUCCUGCUAAGUGGACCCGAGGGCCCACCUCUUCAGCAGACCCCAAACUACCGCCUCCAGACGACAGCCCUCGUCAGCUCAAAAGAACUAAGAAAGAGACAACACCUUUUCUAUGUGUUCAGGAUCUGGAAUGAUAGAAUGCCCCAGCCAUGGAAAGCAGCCUGCUGAGGUGUCUUGCGGUCAUUGUCAAACUGCUGUCUGUCAACCACAACCCAACAACCCUGGCUGGGCAAAGAGUCACAGAGCCAACACUACCCUGUUGGGCAAAGCAACCCCAGGAAGAGGGGGUCCUCGCAAUCUGCCUCCACCAAUGGACCAACUUCCAGGUACCCGAGCCCCUGGCCCACCACCAUAAGAGCUUGCUCCCCUUCACAGAGUCCCUCCAUUCUUGUAGGAGAGAGGCUGCCCG